CAUGCGCCACCUCACUUCCAUUGCACCCAUUUGAAUUCAUGAGAAGGAACUUCUCAUGAAUUUUUUUCUCACGCCAAGCCCUCUCCACACCCCACUUUAAUGUGCCAAUUAAAUGGAUAAGGAUGAUUGGUUGGCCAUUCAAAUUCAAAAUAAAGUUUGAAUUUGAUUGGGCAAUCAAUCUUUGCGCCUUAUCCCUUUUUUAACACCCUAUUUAUUACAUGAGAAAAAUAUUUCUCAUGAAAUC
rnacentral:lncRNA from 1 species